GAUGAAAACAGUUACAAGGAGUACAGAAACUGAUUUCUCUUAUCUCCUCCAGCCUUCAGUACUUCCAGCCUCACAGGAGAUCCAUCUACGGAGAAGCGGGGGUAAAUUUAUACAUAGUUUAAACAUUACUGAAAACUACUGAGAUCCAUGACAUUUAAAAGAACUCAGCGCAUGACAGCUGACACGUCACUGGCUCUCACGCUCACAUGGAGCACAGUGUCCUGCAAGUUAGAAGGUUUCUCAACAUCAGUGCAAUUACACAAAAUGUCAGGGUGUUCAGUCACACAAGCAGAUCUAGCACCUAGUAGCUGAGUGCCGCAGUGCCUUAUUUACACCAGCAGCUCUUGUUAAGCACAAACAGAAAUUCAGGACAAUGCAGCUCCAAUGAUGCAAGCUUAUUUCGUUUUCAUUUUCACCUAGUGACCGCUCACUGAAAAUCAGAUAUUCCCUGAAAGUUUUAUAGCAUGAAGUGAAGUGGCAAAUUAAAUUGAAAUUGAGAUAAUCCCCAGAAAUGUGUACACAAGUAAAGCAACUCUAAGUCCAGAUACCUUUCAGACUGGCAAGUUCUUGUAUAAAUAAGAAAAAGUAAUCUCCUACAAUGAAUGUGUUCUCAAGACUUUCAAUUUCUCUGAAGACAUCCCCAAAUAAAUCAUGUUGUGUCUACACUCUCAUUUCAAGUGGGACUACUCAGAUCUCUAUCAGAGAAUGAAUUAAUAUUGAAAUGUGUUAUAUGAACCAGAAGCACCACUGAAUUUCCCAGACAGGAGUUAAAAAAAAAAGGCAGCAAUGUGAGGCAGCCUUUUUCAAAUUUCCUCUGGCUGCUCUACUGAUAGCACACUGCACUCGUCUCAGCAUAAUUUUUAUUCCAGUAUUUCCACAUAGCAACAUUUGCUUGUGUGAAAGCUUAAACAACAUCUUGGUUCAAGUAAGAACAACUCUUUUUUUUUUUUUUUCCCCCCAGUUUGGGUUAAAUUGUUCCAGUGGAAACAAUAUAAUAAAUGAAGAGCCUGAAGGAAUGACAUUCUGCAUAUACAGACACAUAAACACGGAAUUUAAGCUCCAGGAAUGAAAGCAGAUUUGUCGGCAGGAAAGGUUGUGCUGCAGUUUCAUUUAUGUCUUCAAUACAAUUUCUGAAGCAGAGAAUGUGAUGAUUCCCCAGGGAAAUUGCACAACCACAAUGCCUAAGCAUAUUUAAAGAUUAUCAUUCAGGGCUUUUAAAUCCAACUCUGUUUCCAUUAAUCCACUGAGCUGCCAGCCCAAUCUCACAUUGGCAGGCUUGCUCGCUCUUCAACAAUAGAAAGCUUAUUAAAUAUUAAGGUCUUAAUCUUAAGUACUUUUAUAUGACUGAGAAAUCCUAAACAGUGCACAGGAAAUAAACAUUUUCCAACCAACAAAAAAUAUAGAAGGGGUGGUAUUAGAUAAAGGUGGACGUCCCCACACUAGCGGGAGAACUAUGCUAUAAAUCCAUUUGCUUUAAAGCAGCCGGCGUGUCCCAGCAGCAGCGUUCUCCCCAUCUUGUCUAGACACUGGGUUCACUGCCUUACCUCCAAGGACAAGAGCUCACUUUUCUCCUGCCUUGAAAUGCCAGCACAGCAACAAGAAAGAGGUUCACGGAAGGAUUCAAACCACUCUGACGACGCCAAUGGGAAACACUACAGGUAACGGGAAAAACUGAAGAACUUUUGCAUGCAGUUGGAGGGAGCAGCAGUAUAGCCGAUGUUUGACAUCUGCUACUUUCUGUUGUACAGUUAAAUAAAUUGUCAAGAUAGAUUUUGCUUAAAAAUUAGGCUAACUAAAAUACUUAAAUUGAAUAUGUAACGAGUAUGAGAUUUUCUGAAAAAUAAUUUUCUGCCCGAGAUUAUUUUCCUCUUGUAUUUCAAGCGGAUCGCUUCACAUCUGGCAAAACUAGGGGAAAAGAGGAGGCAAGAGGAAAGCUCUCCGCUAUUUUCACUUUUUGUCCCGUUAAGUCAUCCCACCAGAGCCAGCAGUAAGACAGGCGAUGCCAACAGAACAGGCAGUAGCAAUCCGAGUCCUGCCUGGGAGCAAUUCUGUGCAGAGGUCAGGGAGAAGCCACGUGGGUGCCCAAACCUCAGUGGCCUUUGGCAGAAGAUCGGCAGAGAUCUGCAGCACCCUUCCCUGCAGGCUGCCACAGCACCUUCUCCACAAAUAGAAACAUAAACCUGAAUGUCUCUUCCCAGACUCAGGACAGUUUCAGAUAGCAAACAGCGGUCAGACGGGCAAUAUGCCCACAGGGGCAAAAUGUGGAUAUCGCCGAAAAUGAAAGAAAGAGGAGCUUGGAGUCUGCGUAUGCACCCAAACCUAGGUAUCAAUCAAGUCCAAAAUACUGCAUUUAGUGCUGAGUCGUUGGAGGAACACAGUUACCACUUCCAAGGAAGAAGUUCUGCAGGUAUGGCAUUAAAAUGAGGAGGCACUCAGAGUCAGAAAACACACACGGCUUCAAAACCCUUGGCGGGGAUAAUACAGCAUGCAGACGUCCGAUGUAAGACAUUUUGUACUGCAAGUCAAUCCCUUUAUUAACGAGGGAUUACAAUCACAGCAUUUGGUAUCAUUUACACACCUACAACUCAUGUAGUAACUCCUAUAUAUGCAAAACUCCGUUCGACAAUCCACUCCCGCGGUGCACUUUGUCAAGGUUCCCACACACAAGAAUGUCAAUACCUCAGAUUUAAAUUUCCCAAGGUGUCCCAGAUGACUGCAGGGCACGGCCAUUCACAAGAGCCCAGAGGAAUGAGGUUUCCUCAUUUACCCAGAACUCAGCAAUCUUUGCCCUUCCGCCAGCAACGUGUAAGGCCAUGCAGACUACAGGGAAAUGAAAGCUCUGAGAAGCAACUAGUGUGAAACCAAAACAAUAUUCUGAUUCUUUUCUAAGACUGAAAGGCCAGUCCUUUAAACAACUGCAGAUUUGGUAAUGACACGAUCUUCCAGUAAUCCUAUCAGUCCUUUGUAUGUGCACUAGCUUAGCUGGUUUAUGCUUUACUUCAUACUUGGAUUUCUGUUUUAUAAUAAGAAGCCUUUAGGAGUACUCGCCGUAGGUGUUAACAAAUACUGCUUUAUGUGGAAAACAACAAACCCAAACAAUGGAAUCAUUUUAAUGGACUUAAGGUACACGACAGUUUGAAAGAAAAUAACAUGUUACUUACAGAAGCACGGGAAGUAAUAAUUCUGAUAAUGUGCAGGACAAUCUAUGAGACAUUAAAUAAAAAUAAGCAUUUCAGCUUCCUUCUAAAUACAUUCUUUAUAACCUCCUGAUAGGUAAGCCAAAUUUGCCUUUGCCAUAAAUUCUAUGCACCCUAAUACGAAGCUUGGCAGACUUAUCAUGAUUUAAUUUCCUUCCUUAUCCUUCUUAAAGUUUAACAUUGGCAGAAAUGAGCUAGGAUAGCUCAAAUAAAGCGGAGAGCAACCAUUAUUAUGAAUGUACAUGUACCAGCCUCUGCUCCAAAUACUCCUGGAAAUGAAAGGGAUUUCUUUUCCAAAGCAUUACUGGUCCUCAGACCAACAGCUGCAUUUGCAGACAGACCACACGUAGAUGGUACACAACCCACGACAGGGACUGCAAACAGGACGUACUUUUUAAGGUGUACUCUAACCUACCACAGUGUAGAGUUGUUUAAUUUUCUGCUAAUAAUUAGCCUCGUCUUCGCUUUCCUAAAUAACUUCUGAGGCACAUUUUCAAUAGCAAUGGAAAAGGACACGGCACAAAUAACUUCAAAACUGAACCAGACAUCCUCCCUCAGGGCAAUGCACAUUGGAGCUCACAAAACGCUGCCUCGCAGCUGAACACUGGGAGUUUUGCAGUCUGCCAGUGAAGUUUUACAGUGAAAGAACAGCGCGGGAUGGAGAGAUGCCCUUAGGGAACCUGAGGGCUUUACAGGUGCCUCCCACUUCCAGCGCAGCUUUUCCAGUCCCAUCAAAACCUCAAAAACGCUUCCAUGUUCAGUGAGUCACACUGUUGCCCUGCUUUGCUCAUGCUUGCAGUCAUUGUGGGUGACAUCUCCCUGCUAUCAUGACAAAACCACCCAAAUUUAAGUGCCUGACACCUACACUGUCAAAUGCUUCACACAAAGCAAAGCUUUUAGUAGUUUGGCUUUGUUCUGAAAUUAGAAGUAAAUUCUUUCAAAUGCAACUGUUUAAUUCCAUGCAGCGGAAAUGCUAAGUCACAGCCUGAACCAGUGAUGGAGCACCUGGUGGCAAGGCAGGGCCAACCCAGGGGAGCUCAGGUGUAAGCAAUGCAGCUGAGUGACCAGAUGGGGUGGAGCCAGGAUCCACCCCUUCCCAGACCUCAUUUAAGGGUUGGCAGUAGAGACAUGGCUAUUUUGCUGGAGUUCCCUGCCUACUUGAGGUCUUCCCAAGGAUGAGAAGCAGAGGUAACUGUGACGUAUUGGCUUGACGUAGUGGAGUAAACUGGUGAACGUCAAAAUCUUCUGACUUCUACUCUGUGUUCCCUGACCUCCGAGGAAGGCGAGGUGUAUCACUCAAGCAAUCCUGCUGCAAUUCUGCAUACAGCAAGACCAUCACAACAAAAGAUGAGAGAACUGGAACAUUAGAUAGCUCCGAUCUACUGUGGCUGCAUGUGCAGAAAAAUACAACCAUCCUCCUCGGCUGAUACCAAGUCACUGACUGACUCCUGAAUCACAAAGCACAUAGUCUGCUACUGGAAAGUCUGUACCUUCCUGCCACCACAUCACACCUGUUGCAAUUAGUCGCUUCAGGUGAAUGAAAUUAGGAGAGCUGGAAAGUUUCUAGAAAAUCAAUAUGCUGCUCUGUACACUGCGUACUUUCACAUGAGCUUCGUUAAGCACCUGCAAAGCAGCAUGUGGGCAUAUGAUGCAGUUCUGCUCCCACUCUGCCCCAGCUGUACACAGAGGGGCAGCUUUUAGUUUA